CAGCAGCCGCGGUAAUACAGAGGGUGCGAGCGUUAAUCGGAUUUACUGGGCGUAAAGCGUGCGUAGGCGGCUUCUUAAGUCGGAUGUGAAAUCCCUGAGCUUAACUUAGGAAUUGCAUUCGAUACUGGGAAGCUAGAGUAUGGGAGAGGAUGGUAGAAUUCCAGGUGUAGCGGUGAAAUGCGUAGAGAUCUGGAGGAAUACCGAUGGCGAAGGCAGCCAUCUGGCCUAAUACUGACGCUCAUGCACGAAAGCGUGGGGAGCAAACAGGAUUAGAUACCCCCGUAGUCCCUGUCUCUUAUAU
rnacentral:rRNA from 1 species